UACGAAGGGGGCUAGCGUUGCUCGGAAUCACUGGGCGUAAAGGGCGCGUAGGCGGAUCUUUAAGUCGGGGGUGAAAGCCCAGGGCUCAACCCUGGAAUUGCCUUCGAUACUGAAGAUCUCGAGACCGGAAGAGGUAAGUGGAACUGCGAGUGUAGAGGUGAAAUUCGUAGAUAUUCGCAAGAACACCAGUGGCGAAGGCGAGUCCCUGGACAACUCCUGACACUGAGGCACGAAAGCUAGGGGAGCAAACAGG
rnacentral:rRNA from 1 species